AGAGUGAACGCUGGCGGCAGGCCUAACACAUGCAAGUCGAACGGCAGCACAGGAGAGCUUGCUCUCUGGGUGGCGAGUGGCGGACGGGUGAGGAAUACGUCGGAAUCUGCCUAUUUGUGGGGGAUAACGUAGGGAAACUUACGCUAAUACCGCAUACGACCUACGGGUGAAAGCGGAGGACCUUCGGGCUUCGCGCAGAUAGAUGAGCCGACGUCGGAUUAGCUAGUUGGCGGGUAAAGGCCCACCAAGGCGACGAUCCGUAGCUGGUCUGAGAGGAUGAUCAGCCACACUGGAACUGAGACACGGCCCAGACUCCUACGGGAGCAGCAGUGGGAAUAUUGGACAAUGGGCGCAAGCCUGAUCCAGCCAUCGCCG
rnacentral:rRNA from 1 species